rnacentral:snoRNA from 1 species
AAGACUAUACUUUCAGGGAUCAUUUCUAUAGUUUGUUACUAGAAUUGAAUUCUUAGUAGGUAUAUUAUUCAAUACAGA